rfam:Solanum tuberosum cultivar DM 1-3 516 R44 scf00489_17, whole genome shotgun sequence.
CAAGCAAGGAUUGUGUGUAUCGGCUUUGUGCUAUUAUUAAUGCGCUUUGCACGAAAGUGUUCUCUGCAAAAUUAUUUUUUGGGGAAGAUGGGCAAUUGUGUUUCAUCUCUUUACUGGAAAUUUUCAACAAUCAUUUUCCCCACAUUU